rnacentral:rRNA from 2 species
UGAAUGGAGCAACGCCGCGUGAGUGAAGAAGGGUUUCGGCUCGUAAAACUCUGUUGUUAAAGAAGAACAUAUCUGAGAGUAACUGUUCAGGUAUUGACGGUAUUUAACCAGAAAGCCACGGCUAACUACGUGCCAGCAGCCGCGGUAAUACGUAGGUGGCAAGCGUUGUCCGGAUUUAUUGGGCGUAAAGCGAGCGCAGGCGGUUUUUUAAGUCUGAUGUGAAAGCCUUCGGCUCAACCGAAGAAGUGCAUCGGAAACUGGGAAACUUGAGUGCAGAAGAGGACAGUGGAACUCCAUGUGUAGCGGUGAAAUGCGUAGAUAUAUGGAAGAACACCAGUGGCGAAGGCGGCUGUCUGGUCUGUAACUGACGCUGAGGCUCGAAAGUAUGGGUAGCAAACAGGAUUAGAUACCCUGGUAGUCCAUACCGUAAACGAUGAAUGCUAAGUGUUGGAGGGUUUCCGCCCUUCAGUGCUGCAGCUAACGCAUUAAGCAUUCCGCCUGGGGAGUACGGCCGCAAGGCUGAAACUCAAAGGAAUUGACGGGGGGCCCGCACAAGCGGGUGGAGCAUGGUGGUUUA